AAAAACAUGUCAGUUAUUUUAAAGCAUAAAUUUCUUGUUUAAGUCGCACUGAGAGUUCAUUUAGUUGCAGUCUGACACAAUUCUAAAAGCUCUCUGGUCUCUCUCUGGUUGACGAAACAGGAUUCCGAUGUUUUCAAUGUUACCAGCUUGCAUCCUAUUGGUUACUUCUGUAACAAUGAUUUCCAUGACGUCAGCAGCCACUAUUGCUUCCUCUUAUGGUUUCUGCAUGCAUGCGGCUAAACCAGUCUACCCGGGAGAGUCACUUGCCCUUCAGGAUUGCCAGUACAAAUGUAAAUGCGUGGUUAAUGAAGGUUACUCCUUCUUCAUGUGUGAACCUCUUUGUGAGAGGUACUACGACCAGAUCACGUGUUCUGAUGGACAGGAACCUGUCAUGAAACUUGAGGAGACAUCAAUCCCUGAAUGCAAAUGCCCCAAAUACGAAUGUCCACCCGAGAGGUUUUCCGUGUCUCACUUUAUAGAUUACGGAAUAGACGGGGAUGGGUUUUUUGAACCAGAAUUCUAUGAGGAAGGCGAAAGUCCUUACUUUGAAUAAAAAGCCUUCAAUUCUUCAAGAAGUGUCACUAAUCCAGCAUACAUCAGCUGAAGGACAGUUAAAAUAGACAUUGCCCCAGUCAAUAGGGACUUUAAGCAAACCACGACGGCUACAGCAACGAGAACGUGGAAAAACAAUAGAUCUAAUUGGUAGAACA